GGAACUGAUAGGAUUAGCCGGAGAGACAACAACACCGAGAGAUAAUAAAACGAAAUACAACACAGGGAUUUGCAGAGAAGUGGGUGAAAGAAUAAACGCCACUUGACCAUUAGAGAAGGAAUAAAGAGCUUUAAGGUUAGAGGUGAGGUUUCGAAUUUGAUGGAGGAAAAGAGCGUAAGAGACACUGAGGCCAGAGUCGGAGUCGAUGAGAACAGCACUGUUGGGCGGAGGAGAAGAUGAUCGGAGAACAGAAAGGACAUGCUCAGCAAUGGUAAGUGGCUGAGAUAACGGGGGAAGCGAUAACGGUGGUCGGAGACUGUUGUAAAUCUUGGUUUGAGAACAGAAACCGCUCCGAGGAUCAACAGAAUGGGUAGCCAUUUAAGCGAAAUGUUUGAUAAUGAGUUACAAUAUGUAUCAUUUAAAGAAAAAGUAUAAACCAUGCACAUUAAUCCUUCCAGUUAUUUGAUGAAGAGUUUAUUUAAGAAAAAAUGUUCGAUUCCAAAGUGAAAGUGAAAAGUGGAAAAGAUUAAAAGUUAUUUUAUAAUAUUUCAAAGUAUUCUAUAAGAUAUAAUGUAUUAAAAAAUAAUUUUACAAUCAACCUUAAAUUCUUGAAUCAUACCAAAACUUUGUUUUUAAGCAAGAUGCUACUUUCAUUUUAAAAAUAUAACUUUUUUUAUUAGGAAGAAUUGUAUUCGUUAAAGAAAACGUGAAACUUCUAUUGGAGGGAAGAUUUUAAUAUAUGCACAUGAGAUAAAUUUUUCUAAAUCAAAUUAAAAAUUAUUUUUUAAAAUAUAACCCACAUAUUAUUUGUUAAAGGGAUAUUUUUAAAAAUAGCAAAAUAAAUUAAAAUAUUUAGAAGCUAUAGAAAAAUUUUGGAUUCUAGCAUUUAUAGUCUUCUAUCAUUGUAGCAUGUCAUUGACUAUAGGGAUAAAAUUUACUAUAAUUUCUAAAUAUUUUGUAAAGUCUACUAUUUUUAAAAAUUCUCUUUUAUUAAAACACUUACUUUAUAAUUUAUUCUAGGAAGGAAAAAAGAAAAAGAAAAACUUAGUCCACUUAUCUAUACCCACAAGAAUAAAUUCUUUGUCAGGAAUAAAAAGUAAACAAACUUUUCAUAGAAAAAUGUGAUUAUCUAUUAUGCUCUAGUGAUACAUCACAUGGCAAAUUUUGGAAAAAUGGUUGAGUUUGAAAAAAAAAACAAAUACAAAUACAAAGUUUUAUAGAAAAAUGUAUGUAGAAGUGAUAUUUAUUUAAUUUCAAGAGUUUAGGAGUCUGGUUAAAUUAUUGAAAUUUUCAAACUCUUUAAAUUCUAAACUUUAUUAUAAUUUAUUGUAAAAUCAUAAUUUUGUUAUUGAUAAAACUAUUGAAAGUUUUAAAACUUUUAAAAUUUUAAAUAAAAUAAAUUUAAAGUUUUUAUUAUUUUUAAUUUUUUUUUUCAGACAAAAAAAAGAAGAAGCUACUUUCAUAUUUCUACCUUUACAGGUUGUAUUACCUUUAAUUUGAAUAAUUAGAUUCCAGUAAAAGUUAUGUAAUUCAAACACAAUAAAUGUGUAUUAACCACACUUUACCAAAUUAUUAAUAAAACAAUUCUAAUGAAAAAAAAUAUGAGCAAAUAAUGUAUUUUUUCUUGUAAUGUCUAAGAUUCCUCAUUGUUACAUUCUUAAAGAAAAAAAAAAUGAUUUUCAUGAUUUCAUGGUUCAAACAUAUCUCACAAAAGAAAUACAUACAAAUAUAUUUAGAUCACAGAUUUACAUUCUAACAAAAAAAAAAAAAAAAAAAAAAAAAAAAUAUAUAUAUAUAUAUAUAUAUAUAUAUAUAUAUAUAUAUAUAUAUAUAAUUACAUAAUUUAAACAUCCAUGAAAGAAUACAAGGAGACAUAUUUAUAUAUAGAAGUAAAUAAAUUCAACAAAAAUGAAAAAUUAAAAGAGAAGCUAAGAAUGAUCAUUUGGUUUUUUUCUUUACAUCUUAGUUUUUGUUAUGACUUAUCACUUUGAAUGGAAGAAAAAAAUAAAAUAUUUAUACUACAAACUUUUAAAGAGUAGGAAAUUGAAAGGUUGGGAGACAGAGAAGAGUUAAUAUUGUUUCCUAUGUUACUUAAGGAAAUAAAAAAAAAAAAAAGUAAUUAAAAAGUUGUUACCUUUCAGCGAGGUUCAAGGACAACCACGUCGUCGAAAGUGGAAAACAAAUUUUUUAUAAAAUUAAUACGAUUUUUCGCAACGUGCGUUAGUCAGCAGUGCGUCGCGUAACGUCGAAUCGUUUCGUUGAAGGUUGAUAAUUUCAAAUGAUCAUUUCUCUUUCCUCGACGUCUUGCAGAAGUGCGUCGCCGAAAGGUUAUCAUACUAAAUUAAGGUUUGAUGUACCACGACAUUGAAGCGACGUGCGUUGCAGAAAAUCUUGACCAAAACGAAUCGUUCGUGGUAAAGCAAAACAAUAUCUUAAUUAGUACACUUGCGCAACGUUUGUUUUCCAUACGUCGCGGAAAGUGGUAUUUAGCAACGUACUAACACGAACAUUGCGAAAAGUUCAGCAACGCUGACGUUACUUUCAGCGACGUCGUUUCUGGCAUCACGAAAGCUUCAUUUUCUUGUAGUGUAUAUGCAUAGCUAAGUUAGGGAUGUAAGAAUUAACUGCAUCUUUACAUGUUUACCCUAUAUUUAUAUGCACUUUCGAUCUUCCUCAAGUGAAUUUUCAUCUUCACAUGCUAAAUAUUGAACUUUUGGAGACAAAAUUUAGAGAAAAAGAAUAACAAACUAAUAGAAGAAAAUACUCAAUUAUAUUGGUAGAAAGAAAUCAAAGAAGCCCUUUAUAUAUAUAGUAAUGAAAAUUGAAAAAAUGUUACAAAAACUUUUGAACUUUCAAGUCUUUAAAUUUGGAUUGUUAAUUAAAAUUUUAGAUGUAAGAUAUUUAAUUUUUAAUUAAUUUCUAAAAUGUAAAUGAAAAACAUUAGUCUUCCAUAAUUAAUUAUAUUAAAAAGAUAUAAUUAAAAAUGAAUUUACCAAAAAACCAAGAAGUGAAUUAAAACACAAAACUCAAUAGUAUAACUAGAACAAAAAAGUUUCUCCAUUCAGACUUUUAUAUACUAUAUUUAUACCUAUAUUAUAUACAUAAGAUACACAAAUAAAAUUUAUAAACAUUAACUUAGAUAAUAAUUAAUUUCCUUAAACUAUUUUUGAUCUUGAUUUACGAAUUUAAUAACAAAUACAACAAUGAAUUUAAUUAUAACUCUUGAACAUAUGAACACAUAAGAGCUCCUUUUAUACCGGUUGGAGGCUUCUUGUAAAAAAAAAAAAAAAAAAAAAAAAAAAAAAAAAAAAAAAAAAAAAAAGGAGAAAUUGAGUUAUACUCAAAGUUGAAAAUGUCAAUGAGGUUUUAAUUUUACAAAAAAUUCCAUAGAGAUACGAAGGAUAUUUCUAAAAAAUUUAUAAAAACAAACAAAAUAAAGGAUUAAAAUUAAGAAUGUACAAUUCCAAUUCCAAUUCCAUUUCCCUUUAUUAUAGCUUGCUUGAACCUUGGGAGAGAGCAUGUUUAACAAGUUCCCUCCUAAGAAUCUUUCCUGCAGGCGAUUUAGGGAUAGCAUUCACAAAAGAAACUCUUCGGAUUUUCUUGUAUGGUGCAACCUACAACCAUAUUAGAAUAGUUCGGGAUAAGUUUGAAAUGACUUUCUAAGUGAAAGUUAAAGUUGAUUUCGAGUUGAAAGGUACCUUUUUUGCAAUGAAAUCCAUGACUUGAGCUUCGUUGAUAUUGCUUCCAAGUUGUCUUACCACGUAAGCUAAUGGAAUUUGUCCCGCGUCUUCAUCAGGAUAGCUGCUCAAGAGGAGUGAAAAUAAUAUCAGAAAAUUUGAGUAAAACUUAUGUUUCGAAGUUGUUAUAAAGUAGUUAAAAUCACAAUCAAACAAGUUUGUUUAUUAAUUCAAAAUCAAAUAUAGAAGAGAGCAAAGAAUACACACGGUAUCACAGCAGCAUCAAGGAUUUCGGGGUGGGAUUGAAGCAAAUGUUCCAAUUCGGCAGGUGGGACCUGGAAUUUGUUUAAAACAAACAAAAGGACUUCCGAUUACUAAAGAUACACUAAGGCAACAAUAAUAACUUAUGGCAUUUUAUGGUCAUAUUCUUAUCUUGUCAAGAACUGGGAGUGAAUAAAUCACCUGAUAAGCCUUGUACUUGAUCAAUUCUUUUAAUCUAUCAACGAUGUAGAGUAAUCCAUCAGAAUCAAAGUAACAAAGGUCACCAGUCUUUAGCCAUCCCUCAGGAUGCAAGGUUUCAGCAGUUGCCCUUUCAUCUCCAACAUAACCUGCAUCAAACACCAUUUCAUAUGUUCAUCACACAAUAAACAACAUCAUGAUUAAUGCCUUGUAGCAAAACAUCCUAUUCUCAAACAGAGCUCUCUAAUGAAGAGAGGAAUGGGGACAAAUUCAGUAUUAUACAAUUAAUAAUUUAUAAUACUUCACUUGCUAGAUUUCAUUCUCAUACUGAAGUAUAGAAGAAAACACAUAUAGAAGAGAAUAUUGCAAACCUUUCAUGAUUCCUGGACCUCGUAUCCAAAGUUCUCCUUUGUGACCAGGAGGUAAAGCUUCUCCAGAUGAAGGAUCGACUAUUUUGGCUUCCAUAUUUUCGGAUAGGCGACCGACGGAACCUGCUGUACUGCAUUCUUCAGGCCCCACAGUUCUUGCUGCUGCUCCUGAACUCUCUGUCAAUCCAUAUCCCUAUUCAACAAAACCAUGCAUCAUUCUUUGUUAUCAUUUUACUUGUUUUUAACUUCAAAUAGAUUUAAGUGCUUCCUUAACUAUCUUAUAACCAUCCUAGGAUAUUGGAUGGAUUAGAAUUGUGUUAAAUAAUAUAAUAUUAAAUUUGUCUUUUAACAAUCAACUUCAUCCUUUGGGUUGGUGACUUAAAAGAGAGUAUUAAAACACAUGGUCAACCAUUGAAACUGCAUAUUUGAACUUUGGUGUGAAGUUACAAAUUUUGGUUAAAAACUUUGCCUAUCUGAACUUAAUUGUGAGAAUUCCACAAGCUUUAAAAGUAUACUCAUAGCAAAAAAAACUCAUGGAAUCAGAACACUUAAGUGGAAAAGUUUGAAUUGAUAAUUUGGAAUGGACUUACAAAAUUGAGAACAGAUUACAAACUAGGAAUUGACAGAAUGUUAUGUUCAUCGCAUUUAUAUGAUAUGAGAAAGCAAAGAACAUUGUAACGAGUAACUAAGAAGGGAAAGUGUCUGUUACUAACCUGAAUAAUUUCUACGUUGGGGAACUUUACAUGGAAUUUAUCGAUGACUUCUUUACCAAGAGGAGCGCCGCCGCAUCCCAAAAUUUGAAGAGAACUGAGAUCAUACUUCGCUGCCAGCUCCGAUUUGGCCAUGGCCACAAUCAGUGGCGGAGAAACCGGAAUGUAUGUAACCCUAUACUUCUCCACUGCUCUUAACAUCUUCUCGAAAUCGAACUUACGCAUCAAAACCAAUGUAUUGCCCUCUGAAAUCGAUCGAAAUAACAUAAAGAACCCGAAAACAUGAAACAGAGGUAACAGACAAAGAGCAACGGGAUGUGGCUCAAUCUCUCCAUCAACGAGCGUUUUAUCUAAGACUUGAAGCCCAGUGAUCGCCGUUAUGAGGUUCCGGUGAGAGAUUAAAACGCCUUUCACUCGCCCGGUAGUCCCUGAAGAGUACAGAAUCGCCGCAGAGUCGUUUUGAUUGAUUUUGAGAUCGAAAAUUCCAUCGUUUACUCCAUCCGAUGGAUUACUUUCAUUCAUCAAAGAAAGAAACUCCGGUGCAUCUAUCAAUACAGUGCCAAGUGGAGGCCUGGGGAUCUUAGACGCCGUUGAGGAAGUAGCGAAGGCAAUGGCCGGUUUACAGAGACUAACCUGGUGAGCAAUCUCCGAUUCGGAACCGAUAGGAUUAGCCGGAGAAACAACAACACCAAGUGAUAAUAAAGCGAAAUACAGCACAGGGAUUUGCAGAGAAGUGGGUGAAAGAAUGAACGCCACUUGACCAUUGGAGAAGGAAUAAAGAGCUUUAAGGUUAGAGGUGAGGUUUCGAAUUUGACGGAGGAAAAGAGCGUAAGAGACACUGACACUGGAGUCGGAGUCGAUGAGAGCAGGAGUGUUGGGCGGAGGAGGAGAUGAUCGGAGAACAGAGAGGGCAUGCCCAACAACGGUAAGUGGUUGAGAUAACGGGGGAAGCGAUAACGGUGGUCGGAGACUGUUGUAAAU
rnacentral:lncRNA from 1 species